rnacentral:lncRNA from 1 species
CAUCUCGGGAAUUCGCAUAUCUAAACAACAUUUGAAUGACAAACAGCCAGUGUGCAUUGUCAGCACGUGGCUAUCAUUAUCAUCAUUGGAAAUGAUGCUCCAGUGUUUUGUUAAGUUUUCACAUGAUGGGCUCAUGGUAGUGCCAUAUACAUUCAUUCCUUCAUGUCCUCAUGAAUAAACUGUUGCAAGUCAGCGCUGCGUGCGUGUCGCUCUCUCGUGUCCCUGUCUUUGUUGCGCUGUGGUUUUUCCCAAUGAAUCACCAAGAUGCGCAAACUGAACCAAGUGGAUAGUGCACAACAUUUACGCUUAUGUCUGUCUGCAAGCUGAAAGAUGACAGGAGCCUGAUGACGUCAAACAAGUCCGAAGUCAAACAGGGCAAAGUUUGUCACUGGACAUCGACGGUCAUGUGAAGUUGUGAUUCAAAGAGUUAUUUGAAGGCAGUGCCAGGAACAACUGCAGCUCUUGUGCAGCAGCUUGUGGAAAAAGGCCACGUAGACAAGCAUUUAAGCCCAAAGACUGCUUCGGACCAGGAGGUGCGACUACAGAAGAACCACUGGAUUGCUCCGACCAUCGUAGCCAAUGCACCGCAACUGCCUGAUGACGAAAUCGAAGAGGAGGCAGCUGGCGAUAACGUGGUGUCUGAACACGCAGGCUCUGAGAAAAUUGUACACGACAUCAUAACAGGACGGAGGCUCAUGCUGUUGAUUGAUUUCAAUCACUGGAUAGACUGUACCCUCAUGGCCAA